rnacentral:rRNA from 1 species
UCUACGGGCGGCAGCAGUGGGGAAUAUUGGACAAUGGGCGAAAGCCUGAUCCAGCAAUGCCGCGUGAGUGAUGAAGGCCUUAGGGUUGUAAAGCUCUUUUACCCGGGAUGAUAAUGACAGUACCGGGAGAAUAAGCUCCGGCUAACUCCGUGCCAGCAGCCGCGGUAAUA